CAACAACAACCACAACAACAACCACAACAACAACAACAACAACAACAACAACAACAACAACAACAACAACCACAACAACCACAACAACAACAACCACAACAACAACCACCACAACAACAACCACCACAACAACAACCACCACAACAACAACCACAACAACAACCACAACAACAACCACAACCACAACCACAACAACAACCACAACAACAACCACAACCACAACAACAACCACAACAACAACCACAACAACAACAACAACCACAACCACAACAACCACAACAACAACCACAACAACAACCACAACAACAACAACAACAACAACCACAACAACCACAACAACAACCACAACCACAACAACAACAACAACCACAACAACAACAACCACAACAACAACCACAACAACAACCACAACAACAACCACAACAACAACCACAACAACAACCACAACAACAACCACAACAACAACCACAACAACAACCACAACAA